rnacentral:rRNA from 1 species
GAUAAACGCUGACAGAAUGCUUAACACAUGCAAGUCGAUGAUGGGAAGCUAAGCCUAGCUUAGAAGAAGUCAUGGCGGACGGGUGAGUAACGUGUAAAGAACUUGCCCUCUAGACUGGGAUAACAGAUAGAAAUGUCUGAUAAUACCGGAUAUUAUUGUUACAUGGCAUCAUGUAGGAAUGAAAGGAUAAGAUUGCUAGAGGAGAGCUUUGCAUCCUAUUAGCUAGUUGGUAAGGUAGAGGCUUACCAAGGCGAUGAUAGGUAGCCGGCCUGAGAGGGUGGACGGCCACAAGGGGACUGAGAUACGGCCCUU